AUCCAGAUGACGAGCCCCAAAUAGGACGAAAUGCACUUUAUCUUGGAU
rnacentral:hammerhead_ribozyme from 1 species